rnacentral:rRNA from 1 species
UACAGAGGGGGCAAGCGUUGUUCGGAAUUACUGGGCGUAAAGGGCGCGUAGGCGGCCCGCUAAGUCGAACGUGAAAUCCCCGAGCUCAACUCGGGAACUGCGUCCGAUACUGGUGGGCUUGAAUCCGGGAGAGGGAUGCGGAAUUCCAGGUGUAGCGGUGAAAUGCGUAGAUAUCUGGAGGAACACCGGUGGCGAAGGCGGCAUCCUGGACUGGCAUUGACGCUGAGGCGCGAAAGCUAGGGGAGCAAACGGG